rnacentral:rRNA from 1 species
UAAGACAGAGGGUGCAAACGUUGCUCGGAAUUACUGGGCGUAAAGCGCGUGUAGGCGGACAAGCAAGUCAGGUGUGAAAUCCCUGGGCUCAACCCAGGAACUGCAUUUGAAACUGCAUGUCUAGAGUGUCGGAGAGGGAAGCGGAAUUCCUGGUGUAGAGGUGAAAUUCGUAGAUAUCAGGAGGAACACCGGUGGCGAAGGCGGCUUCCUGGACGAUUACUGACGCUGAGACGCGAAAGCGUGGGGAGCAAACAGGAUUAGAUACCCUGGUAGUCCACGCCGUAAACGAUGGGUGCUAGGUGUCGCGGGUUUUGACCCCUGCGGUGCCGUAGCUAACGCGUUAAGCACCCCGCCUGGGGAGUACGGCCGCAAGGCUA